rnacentral:piRNA from 1 species
UUAAAGAUGUUUCUGCUGUUCACCAGUGGU